AUGGAGGAAGUGGGGAUGACGUCAAGUCAUCAUGGCCCUUACGGCCUGGGCUACACACGUGCGUACAAUGGUCGGUACAAAGGGUUGCCAAGCCGCGAGGUGGAGCUAAUCCCAUAAAACCGAUCGUAGUCCGGAUCGCAGUCUGCAACUCGACUGCGUGAAGUCGGAAUCGCUAGUAAUCGUGAAUCAGAAUGUCACGGUGAAUACGUUCCCGGGCCUU
rnacentral:rRNA from 1 species